rnacentral:rRNA from 1 species
UGCAAGUCGAGCGGUAGAGAGAAGCUUGCUUCUCUUGAGAGCGGCGGACGGGUGAGUAAUACCUAGGAAUCUGCCUGAUAGUGGGGGAUAACGUUCGGAAACGGACGCUAAUACCGCAUACGUCCUACGGGAGAAAGCAGGGGACCUUCGGGCCUUGCGCUAUCAGAUGAGCCUAGGUCGGAUUAGCUAGUUGGUGAGGUAAUGGCUCACCAAGGCUACGAUCCGUAACUGGUCUGAGAGGAUGAUCAGUCACACUGGAACUGAGACACGGUCCAGACUCCUACGGGAGGCAGCAGUGGGGAAUAUUGGACAAUGGGCGAAAGCCUGAUCCAGCCAUGCCGCGUGUGUGAAGAAGGUCUUCGGAUUGUAAAGCACUUUAAGUUGGGAGGAAGGGCAUUAACCUAAUACGUUAGUGUUUUGACGUUACCGACAGAAUAAGCACCGGCUAACUCUGUGCCAGCAGCCGCGGUAAUACAGAGGGUGCAAGCGUUAAUCGGAAUUACUGGGCGUAAAGCGCGCGUAGGUGGUUUGUUAAGUUGAAUGUGAAAUCCCCGGGCUCAACCUGGGAACUGCAUCCAAAACUGGCAAGCUAGAGUAUGGUAGAGGGUAGUGGAAUUUCCUGUGUAGCGGUGAAAUGCGUAGAUAUAGGAAGGAACACCAGUGGCGAAGGCGACUACCUGGACUGAUACUGACACUGAGGUGCGAAAGCGUGGGGAGCAAACAGGAUUAGAUACCCUGGUAGUCCACGCCGUAAACGAUGUCAACUAGCCGUUGGGAGUCUUGAACUCUUAGUGGCGCAGCUAACGCAUUAAGUUGACCGCCUGGGGAGUACGGCCGCAAGGUUAAAACUCAAAUGAAUUGACGGGGGCCCGCACAAGCGGUGGAGCAUGUGGUUUAAUUCGAAGCAACGCGAAGAACCUUACCAGGCCUUGACAUCAAUGAACUUUCUAGAGAUAGAUUGGUUGCCUUCGGGAACAUUGAGACAGGUGCUGCAUGCUGUCGUCAGCUCGUGUCGUGAGAUGUUGGGUAAAGUCCGUAACGAGCGCAAACCUUGUCCUUAGUUACCAGCACGUAAUGGUGGGCACUCUAAGGAGACUGCCGGUGACAAACCGGAGGAAGGUGGGGAUGACGUCAAGUCAUCAUGGCCUUACGGCCUGGGCUACACACGUGCUACAAUGGUCGGUACAAAGGGUUGCCAAGCCGCGAGGUGGAGCUAAUCCCAUAAAACCGAUCGUAGUCCGGAUCGCAGUCUGCAACUCGACUGCGUGAAGUCGGAAUCGCUAGUAAUCGUGAAUCAGAAUGUCACGGUGAAUACGUUCCCGGGCCUUGUACACACCGCCCGUCACACCAUGGGAGUGGUUGCACCAGAAGUAGCUAGUCUAACCCUCGGGAGGACGGUUACCACGGUGUGAUUCAUGACUGGGGUGAAGUCGUAA